AUGGACGAAUCCCAUAAAAUGGGAUUCCUCGGAGCCACGUCAUAUGUGAUCGGUAAUAUUAUCGGGUCAGGAAUCUUUAUCACACCAGCAUCAAUUCUUCGAAAUGUCGAUAGUAUUGGUCUGAGCUUGCUCAUUUGGGUGCUCUGUGCAGUUAUUGCUAUUUUGGGUGCAAUUUGUUACAUCGAAUUAGGCACCUCAAUUCGAGAAGCCGGCUGUGAUUUCGCUUACAUUUGUUACGUGAAAUGGUACUCAAUUGCUUUUGCGUUCAUGUGGGUCUCCGUCCUGAUGACAUAUCCCGCCACAAUUGCAAUUUGUGCAGAAACGUUCGGGCAGUACCUUAUAGAGGGUCUGAAACAGUACUACGAAAUCGACGAUGCCCUCGUGCCGACGUGCCAAAAGUUGUUUGCGUAUUCGUUAUUAUUUCUCGUCACGUGGAUGAACUUCUUUGAGUUGAGCAAGUUUGCAGCUCGCUUUCAAAUUCUUGCAACAAUCGCCAAGCUCUUCUCGUGUAUGCUCAUCAUCGGGACCGGCUUCUAUUUUUAUUUCGUGAAAGGAUGGCAUGGCUAUUUGGAAAACCCGAUGCAAGGUUCAAAAUACGGAACUGGUAACCUUAUCCUAGGAUUCUAUGGUGGUCUCUGGGCGUUCUCCGGGUGGGACGUGCUCAACUAUAGUACCGGAGAGAUCAAGCAUCCGAAGCGAAACGUGCCCUUUGCACUACUCACCGGAAUCAGUGUCGUCACGGCGAUCUACGUGGCGAUCAAUGUGGCCUACUUCGUGGUGCUCGACGUGGAGACGGUGAAACAAUCGGAUGCAGUCGCUGCGUCGUGAGACGCUUGGCGAUUUUGCGAACGUCGUGCCCUUUCUCAUUGGUAUUCUGCUCAUCGGAUCGUUGAACAGCAACCUCUUCUCGGGCAGCAGGUACAUGUAUGCGGCGGCCAGGCAAGGACAUCUUCCAGCAUGCUUCUCGUGUGUCAAUACAGAGACAGAGUCGCCAAGGGUGGCGGUUCUAGCGCAGAGUGUCCUCGCGCUUGUGAUCUCCUACAUCGGGGACCUCGACACCCUCAUCACCUACGUGAUGUUCGGCUUCUGGGCUCAGAGAAUCUUCAGUCUCGUCGCCCUCCUCAUCAUCCGCCACAAUCACAUUCCGGUGCAUCCCGACGCGGUUCGAGUUCCGCUUUUUUGUAUCUAUCUGUUUUUGGCGAUCACCGUGGCUCUUGUCAUCAUCCCAAUCUUCUAUGAGUUCCAGUCAACUGCGCUGGCUAUCGCGAUUUGUCUUUUCGGAUUCGUCUUGUACUAUGUCUUCAUUCACAAGGCGAUUUUCCCAAGAUGGCUUGUUGCUCUUAACAAAAAAGUAACCUUGUGGUGUUGCAUAUUAUUCGACUGCCUGCCAGAUGUCAAAGGCGGUGUCCAGCUUCUUGCGUCCGACAGUUCACAGGCCUUGCUUUCUGAGAGACUCUCAUCGACGCGGCUUUCUGACGACAGUUUCCCCGAUCUCCACUCUGAUGAGAAAAAUAUUAUGCGAAGGAAUGGUAGUGCAGCUGGAUUGAAAAUGCUAAUCUCCAGUGUGCCGUCAUCUCUUGUGGAUCUUAUCAGUGAUGUUCAGUAG
rnacentral:misc_RNA from 1 species